rnacentral:rRNA from 1 species
GCGAGAGGGAAACACCUCUUCCCAUUCCGAACAGAGAAGUUAAGCCUCUCAGCGCCGAUGGUACUGCACGGGAGACUGUGUGGGAGAGUAGGACGCCGCCGGGA